UUCCGGUUGAUCCUGCCGGACCUGACUGCUAUCGGAUUGAUACUAAGCCAUGCUAGUCUUUGUAGUAAUACAAGGCAUACGGCUCAGUAACGCGUAGUCAACCUACCCUAUGGACGGGGAUAAUCUCGGGAAACUGAGCAUAAUACCCGGCAGACCACUUAUCCUGGAAUGGUUAGUGGUUAAAAUGAUUCGUCGCCAUAGGAUGGGACUGCGGCCUAUCAGCUUGUUGGUGAGGUAAUGGCCCACCAAGGCGAUUACAGGUACGGGCUCUGAGAGGAGAGGCCCGGAGAUGGGUACUGAGACAAGGACCCAGGCCCUAUGGGGCGCAGCAGGCGAGAAAACUUUGCAAUGUGCGAAAGCACGACAAGGUUAAUCCGAGUGAUUUCUGCUAAAGGAAUCUUUUGUUAGUUCUAAAAAUACUAGUGAAUAAGGGGUGGGCAAGUUCUGGUGUCAGCCGCCGCGGUAAAACCAGCACCUCAAGUGGUCAGGAGGAUUAUUGGGCCUAAAGCAUCCGUAGCCUGUUCUAUAAGUUUGCGGUUAAAUCUAUACGCUCAACGUAUAGGCUGCCGUAAAUACUGUAGAACUAGGGAGUGGGAGAGGUAGACGGUACUCGAUAGGAAGGGGUAAAAUCCUUUGAUCUAUUGAUGACCACCUGUGGCGAAGGCGGUCUACCAGAACACGUUCGACGGUGAGGGAUGAAAGCUGGGGGAGCAAACCGGAUUAGAUACCCGGGUAGUCCCAGCUGUAAACGAUGCAGACUCGAUGAUGCAAUGGCAUAGAGCUAUUGCAGUAUCGCAGGGAAGCCGUUAAGUCUGCCGCCUGGGAAGUACGUACGCAAGUAUGAAACUUAAAGGAAUUGGCGGGGGAGCACCACAAGGGGUGAAGCCUGCGGUUCAAUUGGAGUCAACGCCGGG
rnacentral:rRNA from 1 species